AGUUGUAUCUGGCUGGUGAUCGUCUAACGUUCUAGUUUGUGAAGAGGAUGCACCAUUAGAUGUACCUCGUUCAUCUUAUGCUCAUCAGAAAACGUCUUUGUUGAUUAAAGUGAUUGCAAACCUUCAUUGCUUUGUUCUUGAUGUAUACCAGGAUGAGAAAGAUCUGUUUCUCAACAUGUUCAUUCGGUUAAUAGAGAAGGACUAUCAGAAACUGUCAGCAUUUUGGUAUGCGAGAAGGAAAGACUUUGUGUUUGAGGCAGAUUACAGAGCAAUCAUACUGCGUUUGAGGCUACUGAGAUAAUUCAGCAUAUUCUAGUGUUACUCGUAGUUGAUUUGAAGGCCUCUCUAAGCAUUUAGAUUCAUUCUUGCAAAUGUUAUCUCUUGUGCUGCUAAGUUGUUUUCUGUGAUUGUUCCUAGUGCAUAAAUAGACUAGAUAGUACUUAGUCGAUCUGAAGGUCGAGGGUAGUAGGGGCCGACUGAGUUCUUAACUUAAAAGAAGCGUGGGGAAGGGUCGAAAAAUGAAGGCACAAGUCUAUUUAUUGA